rnacentral:rRNA from 1 species
AUUGAACGCUGGCGGCAGGCCUAACACAUGCAAGUCGAACGAGUGGCGGACGGGUGAGUAAUGUCUGGGAAACUGCCCGCUGGAGGGGGAUAACUCCUGGAAACGGUAGCUAAUACCGCAUACCAUCGGAUGUGCCCAGAUGGGAUUAGCUAGUAGGUGGGGUAACGGCUCACCUAGGCGACGAGCCCUAGCUGGUCUGAGAGGAUGACCAGCCACACUGGAACGGAGACACGGUCCAGACGCCUACGGGAGGCAGCAGUGGGGAAUAUUGCACAAUGGGCGCAAGCCUGAGGCAGCCAUGCCGCGUGUAUGAAGAAGGCCUUCGGGUUGUAAAGGACUUGCAGCGAGGAGGCGUUACUCGCAGAAGAAGCACCGGCUAACUCCGUGCCAGCAGCCGCGGUAAUUC